CAUCACCCCAUGUUCCAGCACUCUGAACUUGUGACGUUCCCUCGACAGUUUAGUAUCUGUCAUCUCAUAUUGCAGCACUGAGGCCUUCCAAGCUUUUGCAAUUUAUCCCAAAGGCAGAUAAUCUGCCUUGGAGACUGAUAAUGUGCUGUAAAAUAGCCUUCAAUGCAUCCGAACUGGCAGUACUUCAAGCUGUGUACAUAUUCCACAGGUUUUGAGCUGUUGAAUUGCUCCACCCACAUUCCCAUGCUCAC
rnacentral:misc_RNA from 1 species